CCCGGGUCUUGUACACACCGCCCGUCACACCACGAAAGUCGGUAACACCCGAGGCCAGUGGCCCAACCGCAAGGAGGGAGCUGUCGAAGGUGGGAUCGGUGAUUGGGGUG
rnacentral:rRNA from 1 species